AUUGAACGCUGGCGGCGGGCCUAACACAUGCAAGUCGAGCGGAUGAAGGGAGCUUGCUCCUGGAUUCAGCGGCGGACGGGUGAGUAAUGCCUAUGAAUCUGCCUGGUAGUGGGGGAUAACGUCCGGAGACGGGCGGUAAUACCGCAUACGUCCUGAGGGAGAUAGUGGGGGAUCUUCGGACCUCACGCUAUCAGGUGAGCCUAGGUCGGAUUAGCUAGUUGGUGGGGUAAAGGCCUACCAAGGCGACGAUCCGUAACUGGUCUGAGAGGAUGAUCAGUCACACUGGAACUGAGACACGGUCCAGACUCCUACGGGAGGCAGCAGUGGGGAAUAUUGGACAAUGGGCGAAAGCCUGAUCCAGCCAUGCCGCGUGUGUGAAGAAGGUCUUCGGAUUGUAAAGCACUUUAAGUUGGGAGGAAGGGCAGUAAGUUAAUACCUUGCUGUUUUGACGUUACCAACAGAAUAAGCACCGGCUAACUUCGUG
rnacentral:rRNA from 1 species